UGCUGCUUUGAGUAUUGAGAUGGAU
rnacentral:piRNA from 1 species